UUGACCUCGGAUCAGGUAGGGAUACCCGCUGAACUUAAGCAUAUCAAUAAGCGGAGGAAAAGAAACCAACAGGGAUUACCUCAGUAACGGCGAGUGAAGCGGUAACAGCUCAAAUUUGAAAUCUGCCGCAAGGCCGAGUUGUAAUUUGUAGAAGAUGCUUUGGGUAUGGCCCCGGUCUAAGUUCGUUGGAACACGACGUCAUAGAGGGUGAGAAUCCCGUAUGUGACUGGGUGCUUUUGCCUAUGUAAAGCUCU
rnacentral:rRNA from 1 species